rnacentral:tRNA from 1 species
GCCCCGGUAGUGAAAUUGGAAAUCACGCGUACCUACUAAGUUCGUGUUCGGGGUUCGAGUCCUCGCCGGGGCA